rnacentral:ribozyme from 13 species
GGUGUUAAUUGAUUUCUCAUUAUUGUCCUUCUCAUUUUUCAUUCCCAUUUCUGUUUAUGAUUUGCUUCAUUUGGAAGAGAAAAGAAGAAGGGGUGAAAAGGAGAGAAGAAGCACAAAAAGAAGGAAAGAGGGAGUAUAAGACGCAACCAAGCCUCCAAAUCAAACCCACUUCAAUUCUCCAAGUCACUUUCCACAGAAGAAAAAGAAAAAGUUCAAAAGAAAAUUUUUCAAGUAGUGGCAGGAGACAUAACAGGAGAAUACAUGCCAAGUCUUGUAUCAAACUCAAGCUUAAGUUGAAGUUGAUAUGUUCUUCUCCACACAAGAUAUUUACUAUACACAAUACAUUCCGUCAGA